CCUACGGGUGGCAGCAGUGGGGAAUAUUGCGCAAUGCGCGAAAGCCUGACGCAGCGACGCCGCGUGAGGGAUGAAGGUCUUCGGAUCGUAAACCUCUGUCAGCAGGGAAGAAAGGUCACUGUGCUAAUCAGCAGUGAAUUGACGGUACCUGCAAAGGAAGCACCGGCUAACUCCGUGCCAGCAGCCGCGGUAAUACGGAGGGUGCGAGCGUUGAUCGGAAUGACUGGGCGUAAAGCGCUCGUAGGCGGUAUUUCAAGUCAUCGGUGAAAUCCCCGCGCUCAACGUGGGAACUGCCUUUGAAACUGGAAAACUGGAGUGUGAGAGAGGAUAGUGGAAUUCCAGGUGUAGGGGUGAAAUCCGUAGAUAUCUGGAGGAACAUC
rnacentral:rRNA from 1 species